GACUGGGGCAAGCAGAGACGUGCCCAUGAGUCAGGACUGCAGAAGAGCACUUUUUGCAUGGAAAGGAUAUCAAAAAUGAAGUACUCAAAGAGAACUGCAUCAUGAAGGAGAAACUUGGAUUUGUGAUUCAGGCAAGUCCAGGUUCAAAUCCUGGCUCUGCAAUUUACCAGCUGCAGAAACUUGGAUAUUUAGAACAGAUGAAGAUGAUCCCAAAUAAGGAUAUUUGGUGUCCCUGAAGUAGAGAACUCAAAACUAUGGAAUAGAAAGAAGAUGAAGAGCAUCUGUCCCCACCUCCCUUUCUCCUCAGGGACCUGCCUGUCUACACAGUGAAGAGGCCUUGUUAUGCUUGGCAGUAAAGGCGCUGAUGUGCAGGUGAAGAUGACCAGACAACUUUCUUUCAGCUUUAAGUCAGCCUCCUCUCCCUCUUCAAAGCCCCUCUUCUAGGACAGAAGAGGCCAUCAGGGACUAACAAUAAAUGCCUCACACCCUCCAGCGGACAUCUGCAUUUCUGAACAUUCCAGACCAAGGUUAUACCAAAGAACAGCCCUCUUAGUGGCAUUUUAUUCUAUCAGGCCAAGAUAAAGUUUUCCUAAAACUGGCUUUUUAGUAAAAGUUCACAUGAUAAAUACACAUUCAUUAUACUAUUGUUAUCCUUAUGCUUUUGUGUGUAUUUGAAAUUUUCCAAAAUAAAAAAAAAUUUUUUUAAGUAACAGCUGGCUGGGCAUAAUGGCUCACACAUGU
rnacentral:lncRNA from 1 species